GAGUCUCUGUGAUUAACCAAGGAGACACUGCUACAUGAAAACAAGAACAAGGCCUCACCUCGAAGGAAAAAUAGUCCAAACUCUCUUUAUAAAAUGAAUGGCUCUGGCUGUCGGCUCAUUUUGUUGUCUCUGUGUGCAUGUAUUUGACAUCACCUAGAAAAGCAUUUGAAAAAAUAUAUAUAUUUUUAAAUGACCCUUUGGUACCUAAAGGCUGAGAAUAGGGUGUCUUGCUCUGGCUGGCACAACUCCUCGAGCUGCGAACAGACCUGGAGAAAGUCCAGUGGUAACUCCGAGAUGAGAAGUGCCUAGAAAGAUGGGUCCAAAAGCAGAAGACAUGACCUUGGAGAGUCUGGCUGGGAGGAAAGGAGACCUCCCCAAACCAUGAGUGGCACAGACCAUGUCAGACCAUGAGUGGCAUAGAAAAGGGGUGGAUGAUGUCAUCAAAUCCUAACUCUGAAGCAACUGAGAAGCUGUGACAAA
ensembl:lncRNA novel transcript